CAGUUGAUGAAUUUCAAUUGGUAUAUGGAGCCACAUUGGAUACGCAGAAGAACAAUAUCUGGAAAUUAUAGCGAAUGGGCCAUUGCUAGGCUACAUUGUAACAUUUUAGUCAAAGAACAUAAUCGCGAGGCUUUGAUCGGGCUGUCUCCCGUGGCUUUACAACAUUGAACAGCACCAUGGAGACCUCCGCACACAGUCAUAUUCUCAGGGAUGGGAUUCUAUAGGCUCUAUGAACUCUUCGUUAUAACAUUAUAGGGACGUGUACAUCACGGAAACUAUAUUGUAGCCACAAUCCAUGAGUAUAUGGCACGUCUUCGUUAAUUUGCGAUUUCAAAUCUUCAUCAAUGGUUCCAUUUUCAGCGAAUCACGGGGAUCUGGGCCUGGUCGGGUGUCUGUAGUAGUUUAUCCCUCCCGUCCGACUCAUUGAAGAACUCUUCGUCCAGCUUGAGGUGAGCAAUUGCAGUUCUGAUGUCCAGAAACUCUUUUCGGUCAUAAGAGACAGUAGCAGCAACAUUAUGUACAAAACAAGUUACGAACGAGUUACGAAAAAUAGCAUGGUUGGUUGGAGCCGAUAAGACAGCAGCCCUCCCCUCCGGCGCCAUCGUUGUAUCAAUCAUGACUGAAUACAUUUUGUUUUUUGGUAAUCAGAUUACAUGUAAUCAGUUACUCCCCAACCCUUCCUAUAGCCUUAUCAUAUUGUUAAAACUCCCAGGUGUCCAUUUCAUCUAGUUAAUCCCUGUUGUGUCUAUGAUCUGUCUCUCAUCAAAUUUGGUCUUACUGAGUGUGGAUUUUCCUCUAAAACUCCUUUCUUUCCCGUAGGAUUCACUCAGGAAUGCGAUUUUAGUGCUGAGUUACUGUACCUGUGAACAAAUGUGUGUUCUCAGAACACAUCUGCCAUCCUGAUGUGUCAGUAGUUACCUCUGACUCACACCAUAGGAGUUGUGUUUUACCAGACACCCCCGGUCCUCACCCCUCUCAUGCCAUGUUUCCCUUGAUUACUUAUGAAUUUAUCUUGAUUAUUUAUAAACAUUCUAAACUGAUUGUGGAAUGUUGAGAUCUAGCUACUCACACUGCUUGCUGUGCUUGGUGUAUUGAUUGGUUUGUGUUAAGGAAAACAAUCCUAGAUGCCGUGCCUACCUUAUGGCUCCAGGCAUCAACUCGCCACUUCCCUCCAAGAGGACACCCAGCUGUCCCUGUUGGUAAACCCAGCUGUUCCUGCUGGUAAACCCAACUGUUCCUGUCUGUCUCUCCAUUUUUCCUCUCAAUCUCUGUCUUGCUCCUUAUCCCCAUGUUUUUUUAGACUGUUGAAUGGCACAUUGUUAAGAAUUUAGGUCAAAUUUUGGUAAACCACCUCCCUUUGGUCAAUAACAAUGUCCUCUUCAGUGCAGAUUAAGUUAAAUGAAUAAGAAUGGAGUGGAUUCAUGUGAUGGGCUGGGUCAGACUGUCAGUGUCAAUACACAGUGAAUCUUUACUGUGACAGUUGUUUGUUUAAGAGGCGCCUCU
ensembl:lncRNA